GGAAAGGUGGUGAUCUGGCUGCUGCAUCUGUCACCCCAUUCAGCACCCAGGGUUGAUUCGGCUGCUCUGGCUGGCUAGGUGGGUGUCCACUUCCUCCCUCACUGCUCCAUGUGUAUCCCGCCCAAAGCUGCGAGCUCUGAGCUCCGAGAAAGAAAAGACCUUCCCAGAAUAGACAGACCAGUCCUCAGUGGAGGGUAUACAAAUAGCUGCACUCCCCUGCUAGGACCUCCAAACUAGCUCAAAAAUGGUGAGCCAGUAAACUAGCUCACUCAGACGGUGCACCUGGUCUGCCAUG
ensembl:misc_RNA 7SK 7SK RNA